rnacentral:rRNA from 1 species
GACGGAGGGUGCUAGCGUUGUUCGGAAUCACUGGGCGUAAAGGGCGCGUAGGCGGCCUCAGGUGUCGGAUGUGAAAAGCCCGGGGCUCAACCCCCGGAGGUGCAUCCGAAACUCUGGGGCUGGAGGUCGGAAGAGGAGGGUGGAAUACCCAGUGUAGAGGUGAAAUUCGUAGAUAUUGGGGUGGAACACCGGUGGCGAAAGCGGCUCUCUGGUCCGGUACUGACGCUGAGGAGCGAAAGCGUGGGUAGCAAACAGG